UUAAAUUGAAGAGUUUGAUCAUGGCUCAGAUUGAACGCUGGCGGCAGGCCUAACACAUGCAAGUCGAACGGUAACAGGAAGCAGCUUGCUGCUUCGCUGACGAGUGGCGGACGGGUGAGUAAUGUCUGGGAAACUGCCUGAUGGAGGGGGAUAAUUACUGGAAACGGUGGCUAAUACCGCAUAACGUCGCAAGACCAAAGAGGGGGACCUUUGGGCCUCUUGCCAUCAGAUGUGCCCAGAUGGGAUUAGCUUGUUGGUGAGGUAACGGCUCACCAAGGCGACGAUCCCUAGCUGGUCUGAGAGGAUGACCAGCCACACUGGAACUGAGACACGGUCCAGACUCCUACGGGAGGCAGCAGUGGGGAAUAUUGCACAAUGGGCGCAAGCCUGAUGCAGCCAUGCCGCGUGUAUGAAGAAGGCCUUCGGGUUGUAAAGUACUUUCAGCGGGGAGGAAGGUGUUGUGGUUAAUAACCGCAGCAAUUGACGUUACCCGCAGAAGAAGCACCGGCUAACUCCGUGCCAGCAGCCGCGGUAAUACGGAGGGUGCAAGCGUUAAUCGGAAUUACUGGGCGUAAAGCGCACGCAGGCGGUCUGUCAAGUCGGAUGUGAAAUCCCCGGGCUCAACCUGGGAACUGCAUUCGAAACUGGCAGGCUUGAGUCUUGUAGAGGGGGGUAGAAUUCCAGGUGUAGCGGUGAAAUGCGUAGAGAUCUGGAGGAAUACCGGUGGCGAAGGCGGCCCCCUGGACAAAGACUGACGCUCAGGUGCGAAAGCGUGGGGAGCAAACAGGAUUAGAUACCCUGGUAGUCCACGCCGUAAACGAUGUCUACUUGGAGGUUGUGCCCUUGAGGCGUGGCUUCCGGAGCUAACGCGUUAAGUAGACCGCCUGGGGAGUACGGCCGCAAGGUUAAAACUCAAAUGAAUUGACGGGGGCCCGCACAAGCGGUGGAGCAUGUGGUUUAAUUCGAUGCAACGCGAAGAACCUUACCUGGUCUUGACAUCCACAGAAGAAUCCAGAGAUGGAUUUGUGCCUUCGGGAACUGUGAGACAGGUGCUGCAUGGCUGUCGUCAGCUCGUGUUGUGAAAUGUUGGGUUAAGUCCCGCAACGAGCGCAACCCUUAUCCUUUGUUGCCAGCGGUUAGGCCGGGAACUCAAAGGAGACUGCCAGUGAUAAACUGGAGGAAGGUGGGGAUGACGUCAAGUCAUCAUGGCCCUUACGACCAGGGCUACACACGUGCUACAAUGGCGCAUACAAAGAGAAGCGACCUCGCGAGAGCAAGCGGACCUCAUAAAGUGCGUCGUAGUCCGGAUUGGAGUCUGCAACUCGACUCCAUGAAGUCGGAAUCGCUAGUAAUCGUGGAUCAGAAUGCCACGGUGAAUACGUUCCCGGGCCUUGUACACACCGCCCGUCACACCAUGGGAGUGGGUUGCAAAAGAAGUAGGUAGCUUAACCUUCGGGAGGGCGCUUACCACUUUGUGAUUCAUGACUGGGGUGAAGUCGUAACAAGGUAACCGUAGGGGAACCUGCGGUUGGAUCACCUCCUUACCUUAAAGAAGC
rnacentral:rRNA from 1 species